ACGCCGCGUGGGGGAUGACGGCCUUCGGGUUGUAAACCUCUUUCAGUAGGGAAGAAGCCUUUGGGUGACGGUACCUGCAGAAGAAGUACCGGCUAACUACGUGCCAGCAGCCGCGGUAAUACGUAGGGUACAAGCGUUGUCCGGAAUUAUUGGGCGUAAAGAGCUCGUAGGUGGUUUGUCGCGUCUGCUGUGGAAUCGUGCCGCUUAACGGUGCGCGUGCAGUGGGUACGGGCAGACUGGAGUGCAGUAGGGGAGUCUGGAAUUCCUGGUGUAGCGGUGAAAUGCGCAGAUAUCAGGAGGAACACCGGUGGCGAAGGCGGGACUCUGGGCUGUUACUGACGCUGAGGAGCGAAAGCAUGGGGAGCGAACAGGAUUAGAUACCCUGGUAGUCCAUGCCGUAAACGUUGGGAACUAGGUGUGGGGUCCAUUCCACGGAUUCCGCGCCGUAGCUAACGCAUUAAGUUCCCCGCCUGGGGAGUACGGCCGCAAGGCUAAAACUCAA
rnacentral:rRNA from 1 species